CUCGCAAUCAUUUCCGAUUUUAUUUUUUACUUAUAAUUAACGCGGUUUUAUCUAUCGAAAUUACGUUCCUCCUCGUUCGAAUUUAGAAAACACUGAUUGUGACGCGAUACGAUCGAUGCUUAAGUUCUUUUUUUUUUUUUAAAUCGUCCACUGUUUCGAGGAUUUUUGAAAAUUCCACUUUCAAAGAUGAUCCUCCUCAGUCGUGGAGGUAUUUUAUAAAUGAUCGCGAUAGCAUUUGUUUCCGUAUCACCACGUGCGUUUUGGAAGAUGGGAAGAUUUCAUCGAAUCAGAUAAUUCAACGAGUAAUCGUGUAGAUAUAAAAAGAACAAGGAACAACGUGGAAAAUUGAUAAAUUUUUUAGUCUAGUUGAAAUUUCUUGACUGAUAAUAUCUCGGGAGUGUCAGACAGGUGAAUUUAUAAGGAAAGACUCGAGGUGGUUCGUUGCUUCAUGACCGAGUGAUCCUUUCUUCGGUUUCGUGGGGAAACACGGGGAGGCCGGAUCUACGCUGUUGGUUCUCACAGUUAGGCGAAUGUCGGCUUGGAGCUGCGCGCAUAAUUAAAGAACAAGGGAGAUCGUUCCCUACCAUCGUCUGAUAGUUCGCUCUAACGCUCUGUUCUCUGCCGGAUGAAUCGCAGUCAUACGCCUUAAACAAAGCUUGGCAUUGCGCGAACUCCAUUAUAAAGUCAGACGAGACGUGGAAACAAUGCGGAGGGACUUUAACCCUUCGAAUGGCACCGAAUCUCUCCCUAUCCCUCUUUCCCUGUUUAACACAGACAAUUCUACGCGGACGGGAUGAAUUUCAUUUAAACGUCUUACCUUAAGCUUGGCAGUAAGUAAAUUAUCGAUAACAAUAGCACCGAACGAUGACACGUACAAGUUACGAAAUCAUUCCAACAGUGACUCUUCGACCGAGUAAGAUUUACUCUCGUUGACUCAGCACGAUUAAACGCGAUAGUAAACGAAGACUACGAAUCGAAAAUGGUACCUACUACACCUAGUACACUGUCUGGCAAAAUUACGCGCAUUGAAAUCUCUCGGUUACCGUGACGUUCCACGUUACAAAGGUUAAAUAUCACGAGGUGACAAUGGAAACGAGUUGGACGCAAUACGUAGUACACCGACACCUUCUGUGUCGGUACGUACCAGCUUUUGUUGCGUAACAAACCGAAACUAUGGAACCGGAGCACGGUAAACUUGACGAUCGAUCCAGUCGAAAACUGGUCGUCCGUAAUUACGAGGGAAAGAAAUAAGAUUGAUUACGCUGCUGUCUAUUUUAAGAACGCUAAACUAUUGUUCUUGCUCCAAAGAUAUCUCUACGAUUGUUUAAUUAAAGUUAAUUCUCAUCGAAGGUUGUAUCGUUGAUUUAACACGUAUUCGCAGUGUAAUCUAUUUAACACUUUUAGUAUCGCGUUACUUAGGUACACCUGUGCAGGUAUAUCUAUGUAGCGCGCUGAUUCCCGCGCUAUUCUUUCGUAGAGAUUAACAAGGUAUCUAAGUAACGGGAAAUACGGGUUACUAAUUGAAAGCUUUGAACUUGAUCGAUAUUAGGGCGACCGCGUUUUAACCCAGUUCGAAGGCGAUCGAUAAACCCGGCCAACUGUAGUAACAAUGGCAACGAAAUCGAGUUUAUUUCUAUCUCGAAACAGUUGAACGGAGACCUUCGAAUUUAUCAUAGUGCGCGAGGAGGAAGAAUUAAUCGGUACCGGUCGAUCUUUCGCGAUAAUCGUUGAGCGUGGGUGUACGAAGCGACCAAGUGUGACCGCAACAAUGCCAUCGAAUCUGACGUGACGCGCGUCGAUAGAGCGAGGCUGAGCGUAGUAUCGUUGCGUAACGCUAACAACAGAGCAGAGAGAAGAUCGUAGACCUUCCGGGGAAGGUGAAACUGGCCGCAGCGACUAGCCGGACAAGCGAGCAGCAACGGAUCGUCCUCGGGAAUGACGAAUACUGGACGAGAUCGGUCGAUGGAACACCGAGAGGACGAGGUUCCAUCCGCGGCACGAGGAUGACGCGAAGCAGGACGGUGGUCGGGUUCUCGAGACUACUGGUCCUCGUGCCUGUCACCGUCUGCGCGACCAUCUCCUACCUCAACGAUCAACCAUCGUACCCAUCCUCGGCGUCCUCCUGGUUGCGAUGCAACGACCGAACACCACCUCUUCAGACCUUGGCAAAGUGCCGAUACGACGACGAUUGCAUGCAGAACGCUUAUUGCUGGAACCAGGAAGCCUGUUUGUGCAAAGACAAUUAUAUCGUCUAUAGGAAUCGACGGCAAGUGGAGUGUUUGAAAGUGGCGAGAGCUAUCGGGGAUCCCUGCAUAACGGACAUCCAGUGUCGCGUCACCUUUGCCCCGUAUUCCGAGUGCCGACAAAAUAUCUGUCAAUGUUCCGAAGGUUCGCACUACGUUGAAGGAAGGUGUUACGAGUCGGUCGGUCUUGGUCAGAUCUGCCAGUCGCAUCACAACUGCUACAUCAGGGACAGCUAUUGCGUGACAGGAUUUUGUGCCUGCACAUUGAAAUCUCACCCGAAUCCACAGAACGACGGGUGCAUACCCAGUGCCGAACUGAACGAGAGGUGUUCGCACGAUUUCGAGUGCGUCACCGAGAAUUCCAGAUGCAUCGAGAUUUGCAUGUGCAAAGUGGAUCACGUGCUGUCGAACGAUGGCAAGCAGUGCCUGAACGCCGCAAAUUCGGUCGGGGAUCCGUGUCAAGAGGACUCUCAGUGCCAGAUAUUCCUAGAAAAUUCCAAGUGCGGACCUAACGGCACGUGCAUCUGCGUCGACAAUUGGCACCAACGUGGUUCGAUCUGUCUAAGGGAUACCAGAUUGAACGAACGAUGCUUGAGUCACAUGGAAUGCAUCACCGACUCGUACAAGGAUUCCAGUUCGAUCGAAGUGAUGAACGUUGAUUGCGUCGACGGCAUUUGCGUUUGCGCCACCGAUUACACAAUGACCGAGGACUCGCGCCACUGUAUUCGUUACAGCGAGAACGCCGCAACGAGUAUCACAUCCUGGCGACAAAUUUCUCGAAUCCUGCCUGUCGUGGUGUUAAUCAGUGUCGUGAUACUUUAAACACCGGACAACUAGGAGAUAAUCGUUUAAAUUAUUGUUACGCUUGCUUGUAUCUUUAUCCGACCGUCAGAAUUUUAUAACCACUUCUUUCAUUGUAAAUAAGUCAGUGCAGAUAGAGCAGGCGCAUCGCUACCAAAGAUGGAUCCAUUUUUUCUUUUUUUUUUUUUUUACCAGAUUAAUCGUUUUAGAAGUUGAUAUUUAUUUGCGAUCGUUUAAACGCGAAUUAAUAUAAAUAAUAAUUGUAAUACUGCUACCUAACGAAUCAACGAUAUUUUAAAUAGACAUUAAUGAAUUUGUACAAAAAUAUAUUUGUUUUGGAAAGAAUUUUAAGAUGAAUCAAGGAGAUUCCAGUCCUCUUUGAUCAUAUCCGCGGCCUUUUCAGCGAUCAUAUAAGCAGGCGCGUUUGUGUGACCACUUACUAUGGUCGGCAUUAUACUAGCAUCCACCACUCUCAGACCGUUAAUUCCGUGUACCCGUAACCUAUGGUCCACCACGCCCGAUUUCUCUCUCGGGGCCAUCCUACACGUACCUACGAAAUGACCCAGAGUCGUGGUCACAUGGCGAGCAACGCAAACCCAAUAGGAAUCACUGUUAAAUGGAACAGCCUUGCAUCCUGGAAAGGCCACCGGCAGUAGAGUCGCGUUAAAUCGUUUAAACGCUUUGGUCGAUGCGAUUUCUAUAGCCUGAAAGAGUAUUGUUAUAAGAGUGAUACCGUACCGAAAGAAAGUUACAAACAAGUACCGGGACGAUGGAGAACGCGUCGAAACCUAGGUAAUCACCGAACACCUCUUUGUAAAAUUCAUCCGUCAGACCAAGGAGUCCUCUGAAACUGCCCGAUAUGUCUCCGGUUAGAGCGCUUAUUCCAAGAACCAAUUCGAUAUCGGGUACGUCGAUUCCUUUCGUUUUCGCGUUAUCCAAAGCCGGGUUGAAAAACGAUUUCAACUUAUCUGAAUUCACGACGAUCGAAGUGACGUUCGGAGAGUAAGACGCUGAAAGAGUAUAAAUAUUCACGAUCAUAGAUUCAUUAUAAUUUGAAAUGAAUCGCGAACGUCACCUGGUUUAUUGCCACGUCCCUUCGAGAAAGACUUAUUUGAUCGCGAUUUCUUUUCUUUGUUCGGCUGAUCUCGUUUGGUAUUGAGAAAGGCUAGACAUUCGGCCCCACCCGGGACGGUCAGAGGACCCGUUCCCUUCGCGAAAUAAUCAAAUGUAUUGGCCAAAUUCGAUGCGAGGCGAGGCUCGACGAUGGUCACGCUCUCGUUCACGAGAAACGUCAAUGCCGACAUGCUGACGUGAUCUUGUAGAUUGUAUCCGACCGGAAGAUCCUCGAUCGCCUCGAUGUCCAGCGACUGCAAAUGCACUUUGGAUCCUAUCCCGGACAACAUCAAUAGCUGCGGCGAAUUCAACGUGCCUGAAUAAACAUGAGUAGAUAUACGAAUCAGAGAUGCAGACGCAACUGGAAUAGCGUACCUAAAAUCUCUUUGAUAGAAUAUUGAAAAGUCACCUGCUGAAAGUAUCACUUCUUUCCGGGCGGAAACGAACAGCUUUUGCCCAUUUUUAACGAAUUCCACGCCCACCGCGGUUUUCGUAUUUCGAUUUAUCGCGAUCCUCGUCACUUUCGAUAAUUUCGACAGAUGGAAAUUCGGUCUAUCGCGGAUAGGCCUCAAGAACGCUUUAUUGGCACUGACCCUGUGACCGUUUCGUAGAUGAACCUGUACCGAGGAGAAACCGAUCAGCCUGUCCGAAUUGUAAUCGAUUACAUCAUAUCCCAAUUCAUCGCCGGCACGGAGAAAGCAUUCUUUCAGUGGCGAGCUGUAUGGAGCAGUCGUGACGUCCAGGUAUCCUCCGUGGCCAUGAAAUCUGACGAGAAAAUCUGUGUCAUAUCGCGAAACAGAGGAGGAGCGUCGAAAUCGAAAGCUUUCCUAUUACCUAACGUCUUGAUCCAGGAGUCUACAAUUUUCGGACUUCGUAAAGUAUGGCAGUAUCUCUCGAUAACUCCAUCCAGGAUUGCCUUGCGCGACCCAGUUAUCGUAAUCUCUCGGCGAUCCCCUGGAAUAUAUCAUGAAAUUCACCACCGAGGUGCCACCGACCGCUUUACCCCCGAACAUGUUGCAACGACCGUCGUUCAUCGACAGACAAUAACCACCGCUACCGUCCGGAUUCUGGGGCCUCGGUUCGCUUCUCUGCCAUCGAGCAUAAUCCGUGAUGUGCAGAAUCGAGGCCAACAGGGGUAUGUCUGUGAGGAAUAUCUCAUCUUUACCCUCUUCUAACAGCAACACCUUCCACUCUGGGUUCUCCGUUAAACGAUUGGUCACCACGGAGCCCGCUGAACCGGCACCUAUCACGAUAAAAUCGUACUCAAUGGACGGGAUCCUCUCGUCCGGAACCAAGUCGUAGGACGUUGUCCAGAAAGGGAAAACGAAGUGAUAUAUCGUCUCCAGGAUGGCAGGCGGGAGAAUACAUUGCACCUGAGAUACGAACAAGACAGUCGCUACCGAUCUGAACAUCGUGGUUCGAAUUGAACGAACACACGCCUGCGGAAGAGGGUGAGAUUUAACGAAAUACACCGGACACUGUUAGACACCGACGAUUCAGAGAUCCUGACGCGAACACGAUUCCACGAUCGAUCGACUUGCUCGACUCCGAGACAAAUCUAGCCAAAGGUGCGCGGGAAGCUUCAUGGACUCCCAUCGUCCCCGGCUCUCCCGACCUUUGUGACUCGAGAUUUCGUUUCGAAGUAACGAAAUCACUCGACGCGAUUGGUGUCGGCUAGCAAAGACAGCUGGAAUUCUUGAUACCGUCUAUACGACCAAGGUCCCGUGACGCAAACAGAAUGAAACUUGGAUACGAGGCGAAUAUCAAUGAUGAACGUGAACGCUUGGCAAAAGAGCCGAUCGAUAAUCCAAUAUUAACGAAUGCAACUUUUAUGGCCCGUUGGCGAAAUUUUCGUGUACCGUCGUUCGAAAUUCACUGUCAGUGUCAAUGGCACACGUGGAGGUUCAGUUAAACAGGAUCAAUGCUCUGUUAAUUAUUAAAUUAUCCGAUCGGAACAUAUGCGUAUAAAUAUGUUUAUCAUUCAUGAGAUUUUAAUUUGUCUCGUUUUCAUAAUUCUCUGGAAGAUACUGUCCGUGAUCCAACAUGAUCCAAGAAUAAGAUAAUUACUGGCAAUGAAUGAAAACAUUAAUAAAUAGGUAGAUCAAGGUCUGUUUAUGUGUAAAUGUAGAAUCAAUGUCAUUAUUUUCUUACGAUCGAAGGAGUGAAAGUAAAAUUAAUUUAUGCUACAAUGUUACGAAGUUGUAUGGAUAAAAGUGGGACUCGUUAGAUCCACGCGUUAAUGGAACGAUGCGAAGCACAGUUGUUAGCGUAACGAUUAACACGUUAUUGACACAAAAUUUAUGUAACAAGGUUUAUCGCUACCUA